AGGGCGCAUGGCGGAUGCCUUGGCUCUCGGAGGCGAUGAAGGACGUGAUAAGCUGCGAUAAGCUUCGGGUAGGUGCAAAUGACCUUUGAUCCGAAGAUUUCCGAAUGGGACAACCCGGCAUUCUGAAGGAAUGUCAUCCAACUUGGUUGGAGGCUAACGCAGGGAACUGAAACAUCUUAGUACCUGCAGGAAAAGAAAAUAAAUAAUGAUUCCCCUAGUAGUGGCGAGCGAACGGGGAUUAGCCCAAACCACCCAUGUUACGGCAUGUGUGGGGUUGUAGGACCACGCUCUCGCAAGACAGUUAUUGAGAAGAAACGACUGGAAAGUCGUGCCAUAGACGGUGAUAGCCCGGUAUUCUAAGGUAACCGAAGCGUAGUGGUAUCCUGAGUAGCGCGGAGCACGAGGAAUUCUGCGUGAAUCAGCCGGGACCAUCCGGUAAGGCUAAAUACUCCCGAGAGACCGAUAGCGAACCAGUACUGUGAAGGAAAGGUGAAAAGCACUUCGAAUAGAAGAGUGAAAUAGUCCCUGAAACCAUGCGCCUACAAGCGGUCGGAGCAGCGUAAGUUGUGACGGCGUGCCUUUUGCAUAAUGAACCUACGAGUUACUUUUUCCGGCAAGGUUAAGCAUCUUGAGAUGUGGAUCCGAAGCGAAAGCGAGUCUGAACAGGGCGGAUAGUCGGAAGGAGUAGACGCGAAACCAAGUGAUCUACCCUUGGGCAGGUUGAAGGUUAGGUAACACUAACUGGAGGACCGAACCGAUAAGCGUUGAAAAGCUUCCGGAUGACCUGAGGGUGGGGGUGAAAGGCUAAUCAAACUUGGAGAUAGCUCGUACUCCCCGAAAUGCAUUUAGGUGCAGCCUUGAGAGUUACUAAUGUGAGGUAGAGCGACUGAUAAGAUGCGAGGGCUUCACCGCCUAUCAAGUCUUGAUAAACUCCGAAUGCGCAUUAGUUCUAUCUCAGGAGUGAGGGCAUGGGUGCUAAGGUCCAUGUCCUAAAGGAGAAGAAUCCAGACCAUCAGCUAAGGUCCCCAAAUAAACACUAAGUUGAACUAACGAAGUCAGAUUGCUAAGACAGCUAGGAUGUUGGCUUGGAAGCAGCCAUUCAUUUAAAGAGUGCGUAACAGCUCACUAGUCGAGGAGUUUGGCGUGGAUAAUAAUCGGGCAUAAGUGUUUUACCGAAGCUAUGGGAUCCUAAUGGAUCGGUAGGGGAGCAUUCCACUCAGCGUUGAAGGCGAAGCGUGAGCUUUACUGGAGCGUGUGGAAAAGCAAAUGUAGGUAUAAGUAACGAUAAAGGGGGUGAGAAACCCCCUCGCCGCAAGACUAAGGUUUCCUGAUCAACGCUAAUCGGAUCAGGGUUAGUCGGGUCCUAAGGCUCAGCCGAACGGUGAGGCCGAUGGCAGAACAGGUUAAUAUUCCUGUACUACCUAUAAGAGUGAUGUGGAGACGGAGGAGUGACAACGCCGCGGACUGACGGAAUAGUCCGUUAAAGGGUGUAGAUGUUGAUUAUCCCAGGCAAAUCCGGGAUAAGAGUCGAACCUGACAGUAUACCAAUUUCCUCGGAAAACGGUAAUAGUGCGUGUAAACAUACUCCCAAGAAAAUCCGCUAAACUUAAUCUUAUAGGUACCCGUACCGUAAACGGACACACGUAGUCGGGUUGAAUAUACUCAGGCGCUUGAGUGAAUCACGGUUAAGGAACUAGGCAAAUUGACCCUGUAACUUCGGGAUAAAGGGUCCCUACCCGGUGACGGGAGGGCGCAGAGAAUAGGUCCAGGCAACUGUUUAACAAAAACACAGGGCUGUGCAAAAUUGAAAGAUCACGUAUACAGCCUGACACCUGCCCGGUGCUGGAAGGUUAAGAGGAGAUGUCAUCGCAAGAGAAGCAUUGAAUUGAAGCCCCAGUAAACGGCGGCCGUAACUAUAACGGUCCUAAGGUAGCGAAAUUCCUUGUCGGGUAAGUUCCGACCUGCACGAAUGGUGUAAUGAUCUGGACACUGUCUCAACCGUGAGCUCAGUGA
rnacentral:rRNA from 1 species